AUGAAUGAGGCCUUGUGUAAAGUUUAUACGGAGGAGGAGAUAUCCAAUGCGCUGUUUCAGAUUGGCCCCUUGAAGGCACCAGGAUGUGAUGGGUUUCCAGUAAGGUUUUAUCAAAGCAAUUGGGUUGUUCUCAAGGAUGAGAUAGUGGCAGUGGUGCAGGAGUUUUUUACCAAUGGUGUCAUGCCGAGUGGAGUUAAUGAUACGACCAUUGUGCUAAUUCCCAAAGUGCAACAUCCACGAGAGCUUAAGGAUUUCAGACCCAUUAGCCUAUGCAAUGUGGUCUAUAAGAUCAUUUCAAAGUGCAUGGUCAAUAGGCUUCGGCCUCUCUUAACUGAGCUUAUCUCUGAAAAUCAGAGUGCCUUUAUCUCCGGGAGGCUAUUUCUGAUAACUCCAUCAUUGCAUUUGAGUGUAUUCAUCACAUCCAAAACAUCAAAGCAAAUUCCCCACUGUUUUGUGCUUACAAGCUGGAUUUGUCAAAGGCUUAUGAUCAUGUUGAUUGGAACUUCUUGGAGAAGGCUCUUUCCAAGUGGGGAUUCUCUGAUGAAUGGAUAUCGUGUGUUAUGGCAUGUGUGA
rnacentral:rRNA from 1 species